UACGGGGGGAGCAAGCGUUGUUCGGAUUUACUGGGCGUAAAGGGCGCGUAGGCGGCCAGCACAAGUCAGUUGUGAAAUCUCCGAGCUUAACCCGGAGCGGUCAAGUGAUACUGUCGUGCUAGAGUGCGGAAGGGGCUACUGGAAUUCUCGGUGUAGCGGUGAAAUGCGUAGAUAUCGAGAGGAACACCUGGCGGCGAAGGCGGGGUAGCUGGGCCGACACUGACGCUGAUGCGCGAAAGCCAGGGGAGCGAACGGG
rnacentral:rRNA from 1 species